CACGUAGGGCGCAAGCGUUUGUCCGGAAUUAUUGGGCGUAAAGAGCUCGUAGGUGGUUUGUUACGUCUGCUGUGAAAACCUAGGGCUUAACCCUGGGCUUGCAGUGGAUACGGGCAGACUAGAGGUAGGUAGGGGAGAGGUUAGCGGAAUGCCUAGUGUAGCGGUAAAAUGCGUUAAUAUUAGGUAGAACACCAAAUGCGAAAGCAGCUAACUGGAACAUUACUGACGCUCAGUGAACGAAAGCGUGGGUAGCGAAAGGG
rnacentral:rRNA from 1 species